GAACGAACGCUGGCGGCGCGUCUUAAACAUGCAAGUCGAACGAUCUGUAGCAAUACAGGGAGUGGCGGACGGGUGAGGAACACGUAGGAAUCUACCUUGAAGAGCGGGACAACUUUGGGGAAACCGGGGCUAAUACCGCAUAGUACAGAGAUGUUAAAGGGCUAGCAAUAGUCGCUUCGAGAUGAGCCUGCGGUCUAUCAGCUUGUUGGUGAGGUAAUGGCUCACCAAGGCUACGACGGAUAGCCGGUCUGAGAGGAUGAUCGGCCACACUGGCACUGAGACACGGGCCAGACUCCUACGGGAGGCAGCAGUUAAGAAUCUUGCGCAAUGGGGGAAACCCUGACGCAGCGACGCCGCGUGAAGGAUGAAGGCUUUCGGGUUGUAAACUUCGGUAGACUGGGAAGAAGAAAUACGUUCGUUGAGGGCGUAUAGUGACGGUACCAGUCUGAAGCCCCGGCUAAUUACGUG
rnacentral:rRNA from 1 species